CCUACGGGGGGCAGCAGUGAGGAAUAUUGGUCAAUGGCCGUAAGGCUGAACCAGCCAAGUCGCGUGAAGGAAGAAGGAUCUAUGGUUUGUAAACUUCUUUUAUAGGGGAAUAAAGGUAUCCACGUGUGGAUAUUUGCAUGUACCCUAUGAAUAAGCAUCGGCUAACUCCGUGCCAGCAGCCGCGGUAAUACGGAGGAUGCGAGCGUUAUCCGGAUUUAUUGGGUUUAAAGGGUGCGUAGGUUGUUUUUUAAGUCAGCGGUGAAAGUUUGUGGCUCAACCAUAAAAUUGCCGUUGAAACUGGAAGACUUGAGUGUGUUUGAGGUAGGCGGAAUGCGUGGUGUAGCGGUGAAAUGCAUAGAUAUCACGCAGAACUCCGAUUGCGAAGGCAGCUUACUAAGCCAUAACUGACACUGAAGCACGAAAGCGUGGGGA
rnacentral:rRNA from 1 species